rnacentral:rRNA from 1 species
GCAAGUCGAGCGGAAACGAAGAUAGCUUGCUACUUUGCUGACGAGCGGCGGACGGGUGAGUAAUGCUUGGGAACAUGCCUUGAGGUGGGGGACAACAGUUGGAAACGACUGCUAAUACCGCAUAACGUCUACGGACCAAAGGGGGGGAUCUUCGGACCUCUCGCCAUUUGAUUAGCCCAAGUGAGAUUAGCUAGUUGGUGAGGUAAUGGCUCACCAAGGCGACGAUCUCUAGCUGGUUUGAGAGGAUGAUC